UAAAAAUGGUAAUAAAAUAUUUUGGGUAUAAAAGAAGUAUGGUAAUAAAUAUACCUUUUCAGAAAAUUUAAAGUUAAUCAAGUUGAAUAACGAUUUAAAGAAAGAAGAGGCAAAAAAAAUUGAAUUCGAAUUAAAAAUUGAAGAAUUAAAACAAAACAUAGAUUUCUAUACCAGUCAAGCAGAGAAUUUUAGUAAACGAUUAAACUACGGGAAAAAAAUGUAUUCACAGUUUGAAUUAGCUACCGAAUGUUCCAAAAGAUUUAUCAGUCUAUAUAAUUCACCAUCAUCAGAUUAUUCAAUGGAAAGACGAGACGUCUAUAACUUUGAUAUUAGCGAUUUUUCCAAUGAAAUUGAACAACUCUAUCGGAAAAUACAAGAAAAUGUCACUAUAAUUAACGAUCUUUCAAAUGAUCUAAUGGUUUACAAAGAAACUUAGUUUUUUGUAUUUAUUGAUGUUUUGUAAUUCAGUUCUGGUAUA